UGUGGUCCGUUGCGAUGCGAAGAAACUACGUCCUAAUUUCUCUAUCAGGGGCUUGGACAAGGCUGUUUUUCUGCACAAAAGCUGACUUAGGAACGCUUUAGCUCACUAUGCAGAGGCCUGGAGAGUCCUUGAUUUUCCUGGAGCGAGCUGGCAGCUUUGACAGAGGCUGUCACGUUUUAGGAAUCUCAAUGGUCCCCCAGAAAAUAAGCCAACACUUUUGGCGGUUGGGAUUUUGCUGAAGUCAUUUCUUUGUGACACUGUGGGAGAGGAAAAUAUUUGCCAGGUCACUGGGGUCCUGACUUUAAAAUCUGCCAGUUUUUACACUAAAAUGUUUAUUCUUUUUAGAUGAUUACCCGGAGUUCCUCUGAGAAAAAUAGGAGUAGACUGCUGCAAUUACCAUGGGUUAAAAUGAAAGAUGGGAUGACCUGGCUGUACAAAGGCAUAGGGACUCAGGCAGACGAGAACUACUGCUCCUUCUCUGAAUCGGAUUUUCCUGACUGUAGAGCCCAGAUCAACCCUUCCAUUCCAUCGAUUUGGACCGCAGCUUUGAGAGUGAUGAUCUCACUGAAAGUGCAGUGGUAGACAAAGGGGGAGCAGGGUUAGGUAAUUUCACUGGGUCAUGCUCUGUCACCUAGCCUGGAGUGCAGUGGAACAUUCUCAGCUCACUGCAUCCUCAGCCUCCCAGAGGGUUCAAGCCAUCCUCCCUCCUCAGUCUCCCAAGUAGCUGAGACCACAGCUUUGUAUCCAGUGGAGGAGGCUUGGGCCCAUGCUGGUAAAAUGAGAAGUUAGGGGAGGAUGUCCUCAGAGAGCUGGAAGAUCACGGUCCUCACUGUCACAACCCAUACAGUGUUGAUAGGGAAAACAUAUGCCUUGGAAUGUUUCAAAUACUUUGCCACAGUUAAGGGACACCGAACAGCAACUCAGUUUUGGAAAACAAAGUGGAAUUUCUGGAAACUGCUAGCAUAAAAGCUUUCACAGGGUCGCACGCAGAUUAGCAUAAUUUUUAUUACAUUUUCUAUUUUAGUACUGUGAGAUACUAAUUUGGAUUUCAUUGUGCCCAUUGAGCGGCUUUUGUUCUUUGGCUGUGAGUUUAAUUAUUUAGUUAUUUAUGAGUGCAUCUGGGCAUAAGUGCCACAGUUUUAUUUCGGUGACAAAUUUAUGGUCAGUGAAUUUUAGUAAUUAAUGAAUAAAUUAUUUCUCCUCCAUAAAUGCCUCUGCAAUUUGUGAUUUUCAUAACAAUUCAUAAUACUUAAGAAAAGUUCUUUAUUAGUUGAAAAAGCCAAUGCUAAUGGAAUCAGGAAAGGGAAAUUUCAAAUUGCUUUAAUUAACUGUAUUAAUUAGUAUCCAACAUGUGUAAGAUAUUGAAUUGGCUUUAGUUGUCUCUCUUAGCAUUUAGUUGCCUAAAAUCUGUCUAAGAUAUGAAUAUACUGUGUUAAAAUAAAUUCUAAUUCUUUUGUGAAGUAAAUGGCAAGAAUAAAAGGCUCUCCUUUAUAAUCUUUAA